rnacentral:rRNA from 1 species
GACGAACGCUGGCGGCGUGCUUAACACAUGCAAGUCGAACGGAAAGGCCCUGCUUGCGGGGUGUGCUAGAGUGGCGAGCGUGAGUGUAACAUGGGAGUAACCCGCCUUUGUCUUGGGGAUAACUUGAGGAAAGUGGGUCUAAUACCUGAUGGCAGCGCCUGCUGCAUUGUGGGGGUUGGAAAUUUUCGGGGGGUGGGGAUGGAGUGGCGGCUUAUCAGCUUGUUGGGGGGGUAGUGGCCUACGAAGUCGUUGACGGGUAGUCGGCCGGAGGGGGUGAACGGCCACAUGGGGACUGAGCUACGGCCCAGACGCGAACGGGAGGCAGCAGUGGGGAAUCAUGCACAAUGGGCGGAAGCCUGAUGCAGCAACGCCGGGUGCGGGAUGACGGCUUUGGGGUGGUAAACCGCUUUCGCCUAUGACGAUGCGUGAGUGACGGUAAUGGGUAAAGAAGCACCGGCUAACUACGUG